rnacentral:rRNA from 1 species
CAGUCGCCGCGGUAAAACGUAGGGUGCAAGCGUUGUCCGGAAUUAUUGGGCGUAAAGAGCUCGUAGGCGGUUUGUCGCGUCUGCUGUGAAAUCCCGAGGCUCAACCUCGGGCUUGCAGUGGGUACGGGCAGACUAGAGUGCGGUAGGGGAGAUUGGAAUUCCUGGUGUAGCGGUGGAAUGCGCAGAUAUCAGGAGGAACACCGAUGGCGAAGGCAGAUCUCUGGGCCGUAACUGACGCUGAGGAGCGAAAGCGUGGGGAGCGAACAGGAUUAGAUACCCCAGUAGUCCCUGUCUCUUAUAC